UGAACAGGUAUAACAUUGAUUCACAAGGAGUGCUGCUUCAGGUAGCUUCAUACAUAAUUCAAAAUUGCUUUCCAAACAGGUUGAACAAUCUGUGCUCCAGCACCACAGUGUAGGCAUGCCAUUUGCUAGUGGAGUGUUUUUCUUAUUAAUUUAUAGGAGCUCUUCUAUAUAUUUAGGAGUUCAACACUUUGCUUGCCAUAUUUAUGCUAAUAUUUUUUCAAAUUUUUUCUCUUUGCAUCAUUUUUACUCGAGGAGAUUUUUAUUUUAUGUAUUCAUACCUUCAUUGAUGGUUCCUUCCAUUAAUUUUAUGCCAACAAUUUCUUCCCAGAACUGAGAUCCAUUAAAUAUUGUCCUCUAAUAUAUAUUGUUUUACAUUUAUCUUAAAUUCACAGGCAAACUACCUUGGUAUAAAUUAGGGAAAAUCUAACCUGAUUCUUUUCCAGUGUCAUUCAGAAAAUAAUUCCCUUUUGCGGACUCCAAAGCAGAAUGUGACAUAAUCAGAUGUGUUUUUAAAUAGCUUGCUGGCUCCAGUGUGGUAGGAAAAAAAACAGCAAUCAUAAAAAACAACCAACAUUUAUUUAGUACUUACUGUGCACAGGCUGUGUUCUGAGUCCUUUGCAGACAUUCACUCAUUCAACCCUCAUAAUCACCCCAUAGGAAACAAAGGCUUACACUGGGGUUUAAGUAACUUGCCCAAGGUCAGAGCUAGAAGCGGCUGAACCAGGGAUGGGAUGGAACCAGGAAGGGGCCAUCAGAGUUAAGCAGAUAAGUCAACGCACCAGUCCAGAUGAGGUAGAGGGACUGGCCUAGACCAUGGCAGGGAAAGGAGAGGAGAUGGCAUACUGGUCAUGUAUUGAAGAUAUGAGUCUGGGAUUUGGUAGUCAACCACCCAUUGCGGGCCACGAGGACAAGGGAGAGCUCUAGAGCCCCAUCUCAGCAUGCAGCUGUUAAGUCCCUCAAAGACUUGCACUUUCCGUAAAACCAUCGCCUUCCUCUCCCUCACUGUUCCCAGCAUCCCCGGACUGCACAGGGUAGAAAAGCAGCAAGUUUGGACCACAAUCCCAAAUACCGAAAUCCCAAAAGAUCAAAAUCGCUAAAACCUCCAACAUCUAACAUCCCAAAAGUGGCAAUUACAGGACAAGUUUUUUGUUUGUGUUUCUUUUCUUUUUAAAGUUUUUUUUUUUCACUAUUUUAAAUUGUCAGCAUUUUCGUUCACAGUUCUGUACGCUGUGUAUUUCAUCUUUGCAUCAUUUCCAAUACUGGAGGUAUAAAUUCUAUAGGGACUUUUAUUUUAUUUUUAUUUAUUUAUUUAUUUUUGAGACAGGGUCUCUCUCUGUCAUUCAGGCUGGAGGGCAGUGGCACGGCCACUGCUCACUGCAGCCUCCACUGCCCGGGCUCAAUUGAGCCUCCCAAGGAGCCGAGACUACAGGCACACAUCACCACGCCCGGCUAAUUUUUGUAUUUUUUGUAGAGACAGGGUUUCGCCAUGUCACCCAGGCUUGUAGAGAUUUUUAGAGUUCUAAUUCUUUAUGCAUUUUUUGCAAAUCUGACUUCAUAAAAGUGAACUAUCACAAUGCUGCUUUGCAA
rnacentral:lncRNA from 1 species